rnacentral:rRNA from 1 species
CGACCAGACUCCUACGGGAGGCAGCAGUGAGGAAUAUUGGUCAAUGGCCGGGAGGCUGAACCAGCCAAGUCGCGUGAGGGAAGACGGCCCUACGGGUUGUAAACCUCUUUUGUCAGGGAGCAAGGUGCAGGUCGGGACCUGCUGUGAGAGUACCUGAAGAAAAAGCAUCGGCUAACUCCGUGCCAGCAGCCGCGGUAAUACGGAGGAUGCGAGCGUUAUCCGGAUUUAUUGGGUUUAAAGGGUGCGCAGGCGGUCUGUUAAGUCAGGGGUGAAGCCCGGGGGCUCAACCCCGGCCCGCCGUUGAAACUGGCAGUCUCGAGUUGGAGAGAAGUAUGCGGAAUGCGCGGUGUAGCGGUGAAAUGCAUAGAUAUCGCGCAGAACUCCGAUUGCGAAGGCAGCAUGCCGGCUCCACACUGACGCUGAGGCACGAAAGCGUGGGUAUCGAACAGGAUUAGAUACCCUAGUAA